GGUCCCAUCGACUAGUGGUCCAGGUCGUAGCCCUCUCAAGGCUAAAACGCGGGUUCGAACCCCGCUGGGACCGCCA
rnacentral:tRNA from 1 species